CCCCAGGUCAGGCGGGACUACCCGCUGAGUUUAAGCAUAUAAAUAAGUGGAGGAGAAGAAACUUACGAGGAUUCCCCUAGUAACAGGGAGCGAACUGGGAGAUGCCCAACGUGAAAAUCGGGCAGCCGCGCCGUCCGAAUUGUAGUCUGCAGAGGUGUCCUUAGCGACGGACUGGGCCCAAGUCCCCUAGAAAGGGGCGCCUGGGAGGGUGAGAGCCCCGUCCGGCCCGGACCCUGUCGCCCCACGAGGUGCCGUCAAUGAGUCGGGUUGUUUGGGAAUGCAGCCCAAAUCGGGUGGUAAACUCUGUCCAAGGCUAAAUACAGGCGAGAGACCGAUAGCGAACAAGUACCGUGAGGGAAAAGUGAAAAGGACAUUGAAAAGAGAGUCAAAGAGUGCUUGAAAUUGCCGAGAGGGAAGCGGAUGGGGGCCGACGAUGCGCCCCGGCCGUAUACAGAACGGCUUAGGCUGGUCUGCCGCUCAGCUCGGGGCGUGGACCGUCGUCGGCCGUGCCGGCAACCAAAGCACGGGGGCACCAUGCCCCCGACAGCCAUCGUCGGUGUAGCCGGUCAUCGCGUGCCUCUAGCGCACCCCAUAGGACGCCGCGCCGCAACAGCCUGCGGGCUCCCCAUCCGACCCAUCUUGAAACACGGACCAAGGAGUCUGACAUGCGUGCGAGUCGAUGGGUUCUGAAACCUAGGAUGCCAAGGAAGCUGAUGAGCGGGAGCCCUCAUGGGCCGCAUCGCUGGCCAACCCUGAUCUUCUGUGAAGGGUUUGAGUUGGAGCACACCUGUCGGGACCUGAAAGAUGGUGAACUAUGCCUGAGCGGGGUGAAGCCAGAGGAAACUCUGGUGGAGGCUCAAAGUGAUACUAACGUGCAAAUCGUUCGUCUGACUUGGGUAUAGGGGCGAAAGACUAAUCGAACCAUCUAGUAGUUGGUUCCCUCCGAAGUUUCCCUC
rnacentral:rRNA from 1 species